rnacentral:rRNA from 1 species
GGACAAUGGGUGAGAGCCUGAUCCAGCCAUCCCGCGUGAAGGACGACGGCCCUAUGGGUUGUAAACUUCUUUUGUAUAGGGAUAAACCUACUCUCGUGAGAGUAGCUGAAGGUACUAUACGAAUAAGCACCGGCUAACUCCGUGCCAGCAGCCGCGGUAAUACGGAGGGUGCAAGCGUUAUCCGGAUUUAUUGGGUUUAAAGGGUCCGUAGGCGGAUCUGUAAGUCAGUGGUGAAAUCUCAUAGCUUAACUAUGAAACUGCCAUUGAUACUGCAGGUCUUGAGUAAAGUAGAAGUGGCUGGAAUAAGUAGUGUAGCGGUGAAAUGCAUAGAUAUUACUUAGAACACCAAUUGCGAAGGCAGGUCACUAUGUUUUAACUGACGCUGAUGGACGAAAGCGUGGGGAGCGAACAGGAUUAGAUACCCUGGUAGUCCACGCCGUAAACGAUGCUAACUCGUUUUUGGGUCUUCGGAUUCAGAGACUAAGCGAAAGUGAUAAGUUAGCCACCUGGGGAGUACGUUCGCAAGAAUGAAACUCAAAGGAAUUGACGGGGGCCCGCACAAGCGGUGGAUUAUGUGGUUUAAUUCGAUGAUACGCGAGGAACCUUACCAAGGCUUAAAUGGGAAUUGACAGGUUUAGAAAUAGACUUUUCUUCGGACAAUUUUCAAGGUGCUGCAUGGUUGUCGUCAGCUCGUGCCGUGAGGUGUUAGGUUAAGUCCUGCAACGAGCGCAACCCCUGUCACUAGUUGCCAUCAUUAAGUUGGGGACUCUAGUGAGACUGCCUACGCAAGUAGAGAGGAAGGUGGGGAUGACGUCAAAUCAUCACGGCCCUUACGCCUUGGGCCACACACGUAAUACAAUGGCCGGUACAGAGGGCAGCUACCUAGCGAUAGGAUGCGAAUCUCGAAAGCCGGUCUCAGUUCGGAUUGGAGUCUGCAACUCGACUCUAUGAAGCUGGAAUCGCUAGUAAUCGCAUAUCAGCCAUGAUGCGGUGAAUACGUUCCCGGGCCUUGU